GUAAGAGUAACAUUGAUUUCAAAGGAAAUCACAUGGCUCACAUUUUCUCAGAUUACCUUCCACGACUGCCAUUAGCAGCAAUAAUUUUUCUAUUCAAAUAAGCUCAGUUCCUAUUUUAUUUCUCCAACCUCUGCCUCCAAACUGCUUGAUGCCUCUAGUGGACAUAUAUAUGUUCAGCAUGCAGAUGUGCUCUCAGCUGUAUUUCAGCACAGAGAUUCUCUUACAGCUUCUCCUCAUCCCUUAGGAACCUUUACCUCCUAACCUCAGCCCAGAGCUCCUCAGAGCCCUGGAACAGCAUUUCAUGCGACUGUCCCUGCAUAGAACUGCACAGCCAGGAGAGCUGGAUGACUUUAAGCCAAGCCUGGAGCACGUCGCUGCCUUCCUGCUGCUGUCUCUGACAAGAAGCACAGCAGGUAGCUCAGAUGAUUGGGUGGAUGUUUCGAGGAAUACUUUAAAACACCCUGAGAAACUGUAGUGUGAAGAGCUUUAUGUAACGCGGGACUGCGCUGCUCUAAAAUUGAAAUUGACAAGAAACCCUCAAAGGUCUUUUAUUUCUAACUUCGUUUCUAUGUUGUUGCCAUAAAGCAAACUCCAAAGUGCCUCUCAGUGCCUUCAAUUGUGAGUGUAUUGAAUUGGGAUCUUUUUUUUUUUUUUAUUAAGAGAUGUUUGCAGGAACAAUAAAACCCAAAGCAGCCUCUUGGCAGACCUCCCUGUUCUCCUGCCUCCCGGUCUCCAGGUUGUGUCAAGAUAAAACGAUUUCCAGCUUAGUUGGCAGGUAAAAUAGAUGGCAGAGGAUGAUGGGGUCAAACAAAACUGUUGGGAAGAGCUGGGCUCUAGGAAAAUUCAGACCCCCCUCUGCCACCUACAGUUGAUAGGAAGAGCAGGCAGGUGUAUCACUUUGCUGGUGAUCUGAGAAAUAGCAACAUAAAACUUGCAUGCAAGGACAUAUGGUAAGAAAAUGUUUGUAUCCUUACUUGUUUUAACUUACAGCUGCUUUUCAUGAGUGUGUAUAUCAGCUGUGUGUGUACUGAUGGCUUUAUUUUCUCUAAGGUGUAAAUGAAGCAACACGUGGGUUCAUCUGCUCCGUUUCUGAUUUCUCCUCAAGUGUGAGAAACCUCUUAACCAGCGCUCCUGUCUUUCAGAGACAUCGGAACCAUAAUAAAGCAUGAUUUGAACAGAAGUUAAAUAGGAUUGCAGUAAUAAUUAAAAGCACAACGAGAGCAGGUGGCUGUGCUUCAUCUCAGCUCUACCCCCCCACCCUGCUGCCUUCUCCACCCUGAAGUGAGGCCUCAGAACACAGCUAUUGGGUAAUGAAAUAGCAGUGAGUUGUCACUCUGCCGUAGCAGGAACCUGCCUGUAGGAUCUCAGCUAUCAAGAUCCUUUCAAAAGCAGCAGUGUUUAUUCCUGAGCCAACAGCACACAAUCAGAACAGUUUUCUCAGACUUUGCUCUGCAGUCAUUCAGCAGCAGAUAAAAAGGCAUCGCCUUGUACGUAUCUAUUCACACUUAAUUGUGUGAAUGCCAACAGAAAGGAGGAACUUGCCAGCAAGCUCCGUGCUUGGAGCACAUCGUGCUUACAGCCAGCAGCAAAGCCAGUUCUGGAGGAACACUGGGUCCCCCAGAGAGAAACAAGGAGUGCUGAGACAAUGCCUUUGGCAAAGGUGCUGUUAAUGACACAUUACUGUCACUUGUGAAUGACCUGGUGAAGCAUAAGGCCAACAUAACCUAGGGACAAGCUGGCAGGUUC